CUUCCUCCGAAGAGGAAG
rnacentral:snRNA from 1 species